AGGGUUGUAGCUCAAGUGGUAGAGCACGUGCUUAGCACGCACGAGGUCCUGAGUUCAAUCCCCAGUACCUCCU
rnacentral:tRNA from 1 species